GAUGCAAAAUAUUAAGAGGAUGUGGCAUUUGUUGAAAGCAAUAUUAUGUUACUACAUGAUCAAGACUCGCGAUCCUGCGAGCAGAAAGCGAAAACACUGGAGUACUAAUAAGCAAUUUAAUAGUAAACCAUUUCGUAAACCUUUAGCUGGUCGGUUGCAAAAUAUCCAACAAAAAACAUACCUUCAGCACAUGCUAGGAGGCAGAUACACAGAGAUGAGAUCCGCCAAAUCACGGUGAAGAUUUGAACCGCCAUUUUGUUCCUCUUGUCGCUUCAGACCAAUAAUAAACGAAGCGAUAAAAAUCGA